rnacentral:rRNA from 1 species
CAUGGAGUUUGAUCCUGGCUCAGAUUGAACGCUGGCGGCAUGCCUUACACAUGCAAGUCGAACGGCAGCGGGGACUUCGGUCCGCCGGCGAGUGGCGAACGGGUGAGUAAAGCAUCGGAACGUACCCUUCAGUGGGGGAUAACUAUCCGAAAGGAUAGCUAAUACCGCAUAUUCUCUGAGGAGGAAAGCGGGGGACCUUAGGGCCUCGCGCUGAUGGAGCGGCCGGAGUAGUCAGGAUUAGGUUGUUGGUGAGGUAAAAGCUCACCAAGCCGACGAUCUGUAGCUGGUU